rnacentral:rRNA from 1 species
AUUGAACGCUGGCGGCAGGCCUAACACAUGCAAGUCGAACGAGUGGCGGACGGGUGAGUAAUGUCUGGGAAACUGCCUGAUGGAGGGGGAUAACUACUGGAAACGGUAGCUAAUACCGCAUACCAUCAGAUGUGCCCAGAUGGGAUUAGAUUGUUUGUGAGGUAAUGACGCAUCAAGGCGACUAUCCCUAGCUGUUCUGAGAGGAUGAACAUCCACGCUGGAACUGAGACAUGGUCAAGACUCCUACGGGAGGCAGCAGUUGGGAGUAUUGCACAAUGGGCGCAGGCCUGAUGCAGUCAUGCCGCGUGUAGGAAGAAGGCCUUUGGGUUGUAAAGUACUUGCAGCGGUGAGGCGUUACGCGCAGGAGAAGCACCGGCUAGCUCCGUGGCAGGAGCCGCGGUAAUAC